rnacentral:rRNA from 1 species
GACGAACGCUGGCGGCGUGCUUAACACAUGCAAGUCGAGCGGUAAGGCCCUUUCGGGGGUACACGAGCGGCGAACGGGUGAGUAACACGUGGGUGACCUGCCCUCAGCUCUGGGAUAAGCCUGGGAAACCGGGUCUAAUACCGGAUAUGACUCCAUGACGCAUGUUGUGGGGUGGAAAGCCUUGUGCGGCUGAGGAUGGGCCCGCGGCCUAUCAGCUUGUUGGUGGGGGAUGGCCUACCAAGGCGACGACGGGUAGCCGGCCUGAGAGGGCGACCGGCCACACUGGGACUGAGACACGGCCCAGACUCCUACGGGAGGCAGCAGUGGGGAAUUUUGGACAAUGGGCGCAAGCCUGAUCCAGCCAUGCCGCGUGCGGGAAGAAGGCCU